rnacentral:rRNA from 1 species
GGACGUGACGCGGACCGAAAUAAAGUAGGGAAGCAUGUGAGCCAUGUGCCAAGAAAAGCCGCUAUAGAUCAUACCGUACCCGUACCGUAAACCGACACAGGUAGAUGAGGAGAGAAUCCUAAGGCCGACGGGAGAAGCAUUGUUAAGGAACUCGGCAAAAUGACCCCGUAACUUCGGGAGAAGGGGUGCCCACGCGAGUGGGCCGCAGAGAAUAGGCUCAAGCAACUGUUUAGCAAAAACACAGGUCUAUGCGAAACCGAAAGGUGAGGUAUAUGGGCUGACGCCUGCCCGGUGCUGGAAGGUUAAGAGGAGGAGUCAGGCAACGAAGCUCCGAAUUUAAGCCCCAGUAAACGGCGGCCGUAACUAUAACGGUCCUAAGGUAGCGAAGUUCCUUGUCGGGUAAGUUCCGACCCGCACGAAAGGCGUAAUGAUUUGAGCACUGUCUCGACAAUGCACCCGGUGAAAUUGAAGUACCAGUGAAGAUGCUGGUUACCUGCGCCAGGACGGAAAGACCCCAUGGAGCUUUACUCCAGUUUGAUACUGGGAUUCGAUACUGAAUGUACAGGAUAGGUGGGAGGCUGAGAAGCGUGGACGCCAGUCUGCGGUGAGCCGCUGUUGGGAUACCACCCUUUGAGUAUUGGAUUUCUAACCUGCGCCCGUGACCCGGGCGGGGGACAAUGUCUGACGGGGAGUUUGACUGGGGCGGUCGCCUCCGAAAGGGUAUCGGAGGCGCUCAAAGGUUCCCUCAGAAUGGUUGGAAACCAUUCGCAGAGUGCAAAGGCAGAAGGGAGCUUGACUGUGACACCGACGGGUGGAGCAGGUACGAAAGUAGGACUUAGUGAUCCGGUGGUAUGAAAGUGGGAUUGCCAUCGCUCAACGGAUAAAAGCUACCCUGGGAUAACAGGCUUAUCACUCCCAAGAGUUCACAUCGACGGAGUGGUUUGGCACCUCGAUGUCGGCUCAUCGCAUCCUGGGGCUGUAGCAGGUCCCAAGGGUUGGGCUGUUCGCCCAUUAAAGCGGUACGCGAGCUGGGUUCAGAACGUCGUGAGACAGUUCGGUCCCUAUCCGGCGCAGGCGUAGGAUAUUUGAGAGGAGCUGUCCUUAGUACGAGAGGACCGGGAUGGACAGACCGCUGGUGUAUCUGUUGGUGACCAACACCAUGGCAGAGUAGCCAAGUCUGGCAGGGAUAAACGCUGAAGGCAUCUAAGCGUGAAGCCCCCCUCAAGAUGAGAUAUCCCAAUAAGUAAGACCCCUUAGAGAGUAUGAGGUAGAUAGGCUUAAGGUGUAAGCAUAGUAAUAUGUUCAGCUGAUAAGUACUGAUAGGUCGAGGGCUUACC